CGUGGGUGGCUUGAGGGGGUGCUGGCGGGUUUCGUGGCCCCUCGACACUGGCCUCUGUUGCAGCCCUCACUGGACCCCCUGCCACCGUACAUCCUGGCCGAGGCCCAGCUCCGCACACAGAGGUACCGGGGCCCACACUGCUGUGGCGCGUGGGGCAGGGGCCUCGGGGCUGGUGCCCACUGCAGCUUUCUCUCUAGGGCCUGGGUCUUGCAGGAGAUCCGGGACUGUCUGAUUGAGGACAGUGACAACGAGGUGGGCCAGAGCUGAGCGUGAGGACGUGCUUGCCAAGACAGCAGGCGGUGGCCACCUGGUCCACCACACUGGAGCCGGAAGGCAAGGAUGGGGGACUGGCCUCUGAUUGUCCAUUUGUAUAAAUAAAACAUUUU
rnacentral:sRNA from 1 species